rnacentral:lncRNA from 1 species
GAGGACCAGAGGUUCCACCUUACCCUUUUCAAACGGAAAGGACCAGGCCGAGGUGACUCAGCCGGUCAUUUACGCAGCUAUGGAGAGAAGCCAAGGGCCCGCGACACUGGUGGGCCGACUUUGCGCCGGGUUACCCUGUCAAGCUGUCCCUGCCAGCCUGGCUGUGUGAAGCCCCUGACAGGUGGGAGGUUUGAAGGUCAUUUGUGUACAUUUGCAAACCCAGGGGUCUUAAGUGUGCAAAGCAAGGGCAGUCGGACUGCAAAGCUCCUUCCGGGUUCCUUUGGCGGCCUCUCUGGCCUCGGAUGGGAGCACCCCUCACCUCGGUCUCAAGAUCCCUCCGCUAGCUGAAAAGUAUGGGGCCAGAAUCAGGAGCAGUUUUUCUGAGAAGUUAGCUGAUAAGCAUCAAUUAGGGGUGAAUUAACAAACACAGGCGAGUUAAUUCACCCAAGCCUGGAGAUCUCUUUCCUGUCUGGCUCACACCUACCUACCAAUAUUCCUUCCUUCCUUCCUUCCUUGUCUCCCUUACCCGGCUCCUGUACUUAUUGCUCACCUAUUGUGUCCUGGAGGUACAGAGUGAACAUCUGCCUCCUAUCAUUGCAGGCAGUCUAAUUGGGAAGUUGAAAACUGAAACAAAGGCAAAACAAAUGAUUAUCCGAUAUUUGAUGUAAAAAAGAACGUUUGGUGCUUUAAGGGUUAAGAAUGUAGAUUUCUACUUUAUGAUGAUAUCACAGCCUUUAAGUGUGUCUGUGCUUUUUGGUAUUUGGGGUCUGUGAUUGUGUUUAUGUUUGUGUGUGCCAGAGGGGAUAGGUAUAUAUCACUGUGCUCUGGCAACUGUGCUUAGAAGUGAAUAUUUUAAUUUUUAUUUAUUUUAUUUGGUGAUGCUGAGGAUUGAACCCAGGGCCUUGUGCUUGUAAGCAAGCCCUCUAGCACUUAACUACACCCCCAGUCCCUAGGGGUGAAUAUUUGUAAAGUGAUUAUGUGUGUGCUAGCAUGUGUAUUUGUGACUAUAUCUGUGUGAGUCUGUGAGUGUGGUGAGUCUCCUUGGGUGGCUCUGGCAGAGGCUGGAAGAUGUGGGUGGAGAGGAUUGGAGUGGAAGAAUUAGGAAUGGAUCCCUUCAUAAAUGAGAAAGAAGGGAUUUGAGUUUCUGGCCUCUUUAUUUUUUAGCAAAGACUGGGACCUGUCCUCAGCUCCCCCCACUGUAGACAAGACUGGGAACAUGGAGCCUGAAGCAAAUCUGCUGAAGAGUGCAAUUGGCAGGGGAGUAGGCUGAUGGCCUACCCCAGGUUCCUGCUUCUUCUCUUUUCCAUCAUGUCCACCCCCUGAGCCUGCCUGGGUUCAGAAUUUGGGUUGUUUCAAAUUAUCCAAGAGGCUUCAUUGUCUGGCCCCUGCCUGCUUUCUGGCCUGGUGCUGCUAGCUUCCUCCCCUCCAGGUUGCACAGAGGGCUUGACUAGCAGUUCCUAGGUGGCUUUGGAGCCUUCCCUUCCAUUCUAAGGAAACUUUCUUUUCCAUAACAAAUCAAAGGUGCAGGUGCAGACUGUAGAGCCUGUAACAGCAG